rnacentral:snRNA from 1 species
UAAAUAUUCAAAUUUGAAUGGGAAUGAUACAGAGAAGAUUAGCAUGGCCCCUGGGCAAGGAUGACAUGCAAAUUCAUGAAGAGUUCCAUAUUUUA